GCCAAGUACGGAAUGAACCGUGGCCUAAAGUGCUCUCCCGUCCUCCGCGGCAAAUGCCACCGAGUCCGAAAGGGCCGGAGGCUGCCGGUCGGCUCCUGCUCGUGACGCGCGAGGUGUCGAGAUCGCGGUUUAAUGCGACGACGUCUGCAGGCUAUUCGCCCGCCGCCGAGGGAAAGGCGGCGUUGCUGCGAAGUACCGAAGGAAACGCGGCUUUGCUACAUCGGAAACGUUCUGCGGUUAGCGGACUUGUGCGCUUUGGGAAGGCGCCGCACGUCGAAAGAGGAAGUACGGACAGACGAGGGACUGUAGUCCCGGAUUCGAACGCACUUGCGGCCAGGCCCUUGCUGGCUUCGUCUUCCGCCUCAAGUAGACUUGUUGUGGCUCCGGCGCAGGGAGCCCCGUCCCUGGCACUGGCCGAGUGGUUUUGGAGAGCUGCGCGAGUACGCGCGCCGGGCUCUUGUCUUUCGUCUCAAGUAGGCUGUUGGAUCAACAGCGGUUAUGCUGCGGCGAUCUGCCGAUGCGAAAGUGUGUGUGUGUUUGAGGCCCUUCUAUGAACCUACUGCUGACUGAAGCGAAGUACGUCGACGGGGGUGAAACCCUGCCCGUGGCCGUGUAGCCGUUAAAGACUCCAGAGCGGCUUAGCCCUACUCAUGGCUCUGUCGCUUUUUGCAAUUUUUCGUGGAGCGAUGUGAACGUGCACACGAGACACACGGGUCCGGUGGUUGGUUGGCAGGUAAAACCUGCUUCGAGUGCGCGCAAACGGCAUAAGGUACCUCGAGGGCAAGCGAGGAAGCCGUGGGCGCAAAACACACGCGCGAGUAGCAGGAGUGGAGUGCCAUUAGGCUUUCAGCUGCUGAGACGCGGCCGCCGAAAGAGCGAGACUGGAGGAGCGCACGCCGAAAGGCGCUCUUCGAAACCACACACAGGGAGACGCCACGUGCCUAAAAC
rnacentral:lncRNA from 1 species